GGAAGUAAAAGUCGUAACAAGGUUUCUGUAGGUGAACCUGCGGAAGGAUCAUUACCACACCCAAAACAAAAAACAGAGGUCUCCGAUUCGCAAGAUGACGGACUGAUGUUGACCCGCGGAACUUUCGUCUCUGUUUGGUGUAGGCUUGCUUCGGCACCUGCAUCGGCAUUGAUGCUUUAAGAUCUAAAUUUAACCCGCUCUUCUGUACGAACCUGUUAGAAUCCCCUGCUUCGGUAGGCCUGGCUUGGUAGUAGUCAGAGAGCAACCAUUGAACUAAAGCCGCGAUAAGCUUCUAGUGCUGUUACUUUCGGGUUCAGCCUAGGGGUACGCAAACUUAAUCAAUCACACUUUCAGCAACGGAUGUCUUGGCUCCUAUAACGAUGAAGAACGCAGCGAAAUGCGAUACGUCUUGCGAAUUGCAUAGCCAGCGAGUCAUCAAAAUUUUGAACGCAUCUUGCACUUCCCUUUGGGGAGUAUGUCUGUUGGAGUAUCUGUAGAACCCUCUUGAGCCAUCAGGGCUGUAACAAGCCUCUGAUGGAGAUCGUGGUCUCCCUCCUAUUUAUACAGGAGUCGGAUAGAUGUAAAGGCUUAUGUCUUAGUUCCUCUUCGGAGGCUAAGCUAAGCUAGCGUUUCAGGUGUGCGUCAAAGCCGCAUACUCGAACCAAUCCCUUGUGGAGUUCCUCUUGUAGGACGAAACAAGUUGUGGUCUUUAGUAGAGUUUGCGAUCCCUUUGUAUGCAUUCAACACAACUGAUAAUACAUGGAGAAGUGAGUCUUCUCAAUCAGACCUCCAAUCAGACAAGAAUACCCGCUGAAUUUAAGCAUAUCAAUAAGCGGAGGA
rnacentral:rRNA from 1 species